GAUGAACGCUAGCUACAGGCUUAACACAUGCAAGUCGCGGGGCAGCAUGGGGGUUGCUUGCCAUCCCUGAUGGCGACCGGCGCACGGGUGAGUAACGCGUAUCCAACCUGCCCUUCACCACGGGAUAACCCGGCGAAAGUCGGACUAAUACCGUAUGUUGUCCAUUGACGGCAUCCGAUUUGGACGAAAGGCUUAGCGGUGAGGGAUGGGGAUGCGUCCGAUUAGCUUGACGGCGGGGUAACGGCCCACCGUGGCUACGAUCGGUAGGGGUUCUGAGAGGAAGGUCCCCCACACUGGAACUGAGACACGGUCCAGACUCCUACGGGAGGCAGCAGUGAGGAAUAUUGGUCAAUGGGCGUAAGCCUGAACCAGCCAAGUAGCGUGCAGGAUGACGGCCCUAUGGGUGGUAAACUGCUUUUAGGCGGGGAUAAAGGGACCCACGUGUGGGUUUUUGCAGGUACCGCAUGAAUAAGGACCGGCUAAUUCCGUG
rnacentral:rRNA from 1 species